CAUGCAAGCCGCCUUAUCGCCCCGACUUGUCGGGGAGGAAAGUCCGGGCAACAUGGAGCAUCGUACUUCCUAACGGGAAGGCCCCGGUUAGCCGGGGACAGACAGUGCCACAGAAAACAAGUAGCCCGCCAACGCCCAGGCGAUGACGGGUCAUAGUGAAAAGGCGAGGUAAGAGCUCACCGCCCUGGUGGCGACAUCAGGGGCACGGCAAACCUUACGAGUUGAAAGGCCAAAUAGGUCCCGAACAUGGGCUGCUCCGCCCAUCCAUUUUUUGGAAGUCGGGAUGGGUAGGCCGAUUGAUCCCGGUUGUGAAGCCGGGGCCAGAUAAAUGAUAAGGCCCUGAUUGAUUUCAGGGACAGAACCCGGCUUACAGGCUUGCAUAUUUU
rnacentral:RNase_P_RNA from 1 species